UGACAAGACUGCCAUCGUAAGAUGUGAGGAAGGUGGGGAUGACGUCAAAUCAGCACGGCCCUUACGUCCGGGGCUACACACGUGUUACAAUGGGGGGUACAGAGGGCCGCUACCACGCGAGUGGAUGCCAAUCCCCAAAACCUCUCUCAGUUCGGACUGGAGUCUGCAACCCGACUCCACGAAGCUGGAUUCGCUAGUAAUCGCGCAUCAGCCACGGCGCGGUGAAUACGUUCCCGGGCCUUGUACACACCGCCCGUCAAGCCAUGGGAGCCGGGGGUACCUGAAGUGCGUAACCGCGAGGAGCGCCCUAGGGUAAAACUGGUGACUGGGGCUAAGUCGUAACAAGGUAGCCGUACCGGAAGGUGCGGCUGGAACACC
rnacentral:rRNA from 2 species